ensembl:lncRNA
AUUGUGAAUGACAGAUCUUAGACACCAGAAUCAAUAAUUUCCUUCUCUUAUGUAAUUUUCCUUCCAUUAGCUCCCUCAGUGGGUAUCAGAGGCCUGAUAAUAAUUGCUAAAUCAAAUCCUUCACACAGGACAGAACGAGAGAAGAAACGUUGAAAACAGAUGAGGAAGAAAGAUAUCUCCCCAUUAGAAGUGCACUUAUAUUUUUAUUGACAGAGAUGGAACCUGCUAAUUGGAUGAAAAGAUGGGUCUUGUUCCAGACAUGAUACGAAAAAAAAAAAUAUCAGGCAACUAUACUUGACAAGUGCAUCUAAUGAGAAUGCAUCAGUGAGAAAAGAAAUAUUGUUUUAAACAGCUUUGAACAAGAUCUCAAGAGUGAGCAGAAUAUAUAGGAGAGUUUUACUUCCUUGGGCUCCAAAAUCACUGCAGACGGUGACUGUGGUUUGCUACUUGGAAGAAAAGCUAUGAUAAAUCUAGACCAAAUAUUAAAAAGCAGAGACAUCACUUUGCCAAAAAAGUUCUGUAUAGUCAAAAGCUAUGGUUUUUCCAGUAGUCAUGUAUGGAUAUGAGAGUUGGACCAUAAAGAAGGCUGAGCACCAAAGAACUGAUGCUUUUGAAUUGUGGUGCUGGAGAAGAGUCUUGAGAAUUCCUUGGACUGCAAGGAGAUCCAACCAGUCAGUCCUAAAGGAAAUCAACCCUGAAUAUUCACUGGAAGGACUAAUGCUGAAGCUAAAGCUCCAGUACUUUGACCACCUGAUGGAAGAACCUGUUCAUUGGAAGAGACCCUCAUGUGGGGAAAGACUGAAGGCAAGAGGAAAAGGGGGAAGCAGAGGAUGAGAUGGUUGGAUAGCAUCACCAACUCAACUGACAUGAAUUUGAGCAAACUCCAGGAGAUAGUAAAGGACAAGAAAUCCUGGUGUACUGCAGUCCAUGGGGUUGCAAAAAGCUGGACAUGACUUAGCAGCUGAACAACAACAAUGACACAGGAGAUUAUGUUGACUGUGACGCCAUGGCCUAUAGCCCACCAGGCUCCCUGUUCAUGGAAUUUUCCAGGCAAGAAUACUGAAUUACAGGCCCUUCGUGCCCUUUGUUGCUGUUGUUGUUCAGUCGGCAAGUAAUGUCUGACUCUUUGUCACCCCGUGGGCUGUAGCACGACAGGCUUUGUCUAAGAAGAAUAGUCUACCUUCUAAGUGGAGUCAAGAGGAAGAAAAAGUCUCACCAAGCAGAUGCUGGCAGAAGACAUGAAACUGUUUGGUCAAAGAACUUCAACACAGCACAUCAAAGAUACGCUGAAUUAAUCGGUAGCAUAGCAGCCCUACAAACUGGGAGGCCUGAUUUUUGAGUUUGGCCCGAGGAUAGGAAGUCAAAAGCUGGCAGAAGACGGAUGCUUUGCCAAAGUGACAAAUUUCUUUUCCUGGAGAAAGUUGCUGACUGCAGUGUUCCAAUUGGAGCAGCUUAUCUGCCCCUCCAGAUGUUGAAAUAAUGACAGAUGCCCAGAGAAAGCUUGACAAGAGGAAGAAAAG